ensembl:snRNA U6 U6 spliceosomal RNA
GUGCUUGCUUUGGCAGCACAUAUACUAAAAUUGGAACGAUACAGAGAAAAUUAGCAUGGCCCCUGCACAAGGAUGAUACAAAAAUUCGUGAAGCAUUCCAUUUAAAA